rnacentral:rRNA from 1 species
AGGUGUGAUCAUAUCAGCGUUAAUGUAUCGGAUCUCAUCAGAACUUCGUAGUUAAGCACGCUUGGGCUAGAGUAGUAUUGGGAUGGGUGACCUGACGGGAAGUCCUAGUGUUGCACCAU